GAUGAACGCUGGCGGCGUGCCUAAUACAUGCAAGUCGAGCGAACAGACGAGGAGCUUGCUCCUCUGACGUUAGCGGCGGACGGGUGAGUAACACGUGGAUAACCUACCUAUAAGACUGGGAUAACUUCGGGAAACCGGAGCUAAUACCGGACAAUAUAUUGAACCGCAUGGUUCAAUGGUGAAAGACGGUUUUGCUGUCACUUAUAGAUGGAUCCGCGCCGCAUUAGCUAGUUGGUAAGGUAACGGCUUACCAAGGCAACGAUGCGUAGCCGACCUGAGAGGGUGAUCGGCCACACUGGAACUGAGACACGGUCCAGACUCCUACGGGAGGCAGCAGUAGGGAAUCUUCCGCAAUGGGCGAAAGCUUGACGGAGCAACGCCGCGUGAGUGAUGAAGGUCUUCGGAUCGUAAAACUCUGUUAUUAGGGAAGAACAAAUGUGUAAGUAACUAUGCACGUCUUGACGGUACCUAAUCAGAAAGCCACGGCUAACUACGUG
rnacentral:rRNA from 1 species